AUUAGAUAUAGAUACUUGGAAAUGGAACAUCGAUCGGUACGAUGCGCAGGCCUACGAUCAUACAUAUGUGCAAUAUUCGUAGAAGACAAGGGACUAGGGUUACAAAAAUGUUUCUAAUAAAAAUAAUGGUGGAAAAAUAAUUAAAUAAAAAUAUGUUUGUUUUUUUUUAAAAGAACUUCUUCAAUCGUUAAAGAGUGUAUUGUGUCUACGAUUAGUAUCUAAUUAAUGGAUAAAAAUCUAGAAAAUAUAAUAGUGUAUAUUGUGGAUCGCGUCAUCCUCUUCUUCCUUCUCUUCUUCGUUGUACUUGGAAAUUAAACGUCGAUGAAACGAUCAGGAGUAACGUCGAGGAGGAAUCUGCGUCAUUUGCAGGAUACGAAGAUGUCAGGAAAAAAUCUCGAGAUGAGGGAAACAGCUGCACGUAUCUGUCGGGAUUAUCUUCAUGGUGUUUGGAAACGUGUUACUGCGGAGAACAUUACCUUAAAACGUAUCAGCGGAGGCCUGAGUAAUUGGCUUUACAAUGUUCAGCUGCCAGACGGUGCUGUACCAAUACGCGGUGAACCGCGUCAAGUUUUAUUACGAUUGUACGGUCAAGUACAUGGGGAAAGGGCGUUGGAGGGACUAAUCACCGAAUCCGUCAUCUUCACGCUACUUUCAGAAAGGCGACUUGGCCCUAAAUUGCACGGUAUAUUUCCCGGUGGACGUAUCGAAGAAUAUAUACCAGCUAGACCUUUGUUAACCAAAGAAUUGUCCGAUCCAACCUUGAGCACAAUGAUAGGUGAAAAAAUGGGACAAAUACAUAUGAUGCAAGUACCGAUCAGUAAAGAACCUACUUGGUUAUGGGAUACCAUGGCUAAAUGGCUUGCCACAGCAACAGAUAUUUUAGAAACUGUUGAUGAAGUAGAUCCGCGUCAACACGACAACGUUUAUACUUUGAGAUCAUUCGAUCUCGAGACGGAAAUCAAUUGGUUCAGAGACCUUGUUGCUCGAGGAAAAUAUCCAGUAGUAUUUUGUCACAACGAUAUGCAAGAGGGUAAUAUCCUUCUACGACAAAACUCGCGGAAGACCGAGUUAGUUGUUAUCGACUUUGAAUAUUGUUCCUACAACUACAGAGGCUUCGAUAUCGCCAAUCAUUUCAUCGAAUGGCAGUACGAUUACACGGAAGGGAAUUAUCCAUUCUUCCACGAACGAACUGGUUGUGGGCCUACUCAAGAGCAGAAGUUUCACAGGACUGCAAUUGACGGAUUGAGAGACAGGAUCGAUGAGCACAUGCUAUCGGGAUAAAUUGGCCGGCAUAUGAAUCUUUGCCACUACGACGUAUCCUGACUCGUACUCUCCAAGUUAUGGAACCAGAACCACCUGUGUGCCAUCUACCCAUGGCGAACAGCACACCCUCCCACAUCUGCUCGUCUACGAACCUAGACUCAAUUUUAUCAAGAGUUACUUGAGAACAGUCCAGAAA
rnacentral:misc_RNA from 1 species